rnacentral:rRNA from 1 species
UACGGAGGAUGCAAGCGUUAUCCGGAAUGAUUGGGCGUAAAGCGUCCGCAGGUGGCUGUGUAAGUCUGCUGUUAAAGAGUCAUGCUCAACAUGAUAAGAGCAGUGGAAACUACACGGCUAGAGUGCGUUCGGGGCAGAGGGAAUUCCUGGUGUAGCGGUGAAAUGCGCAGAUAUCAGGAGGAACACCAAUGGCGAAGGCAGCACUCUGGGACGUGACUGACGCUGAGACGCGAAAGCGUGGGGAGCAAACAGG